rnacentral:rRNA from 1 species
UACGGGAGGCAGCAGUGGGGAAUAUUGCACAAUGGGCGAAAGCCUGAUGCAGCUAUGCCGCGUGUAUGAAGAAGGCCUUAGGGCUGUAAAGUACUUUCAUCGGGGAGGAAAAAACAAAACUAAUAAUUUUAUUUCUUGACGUUACCCGAAAAAGAAGCACCGGCUAACUCCGUGCCAGCAGCCGCGGUAAUACGGAGGGUGCUAGCGUUAAUCAGAAUUACUGGGCGUAAAGAGCACGUAGGUGGUUUUUUAAGUCAGAUGUGAAAUCCCUGGGCUUAACCUAGGAACUGCAUUUUGAAACUGAAAUACUAGAGUAUCGUAGAGGGAGGUAGAAUUCUAGGUGUAGCGGUGAAAUGCGUAGAUAUCUGGAGGAAUACCUGUGGCGAAAGCGGCCUCCUAAACGAAUACUGACACUGAGGUGCGAAAGCGUGGGGAGCAAACAGGGAUUAGAUACC